rnacentral:rRNA from 1 species
CACGUAGGGUGCGAGCGUUGUCCGGAAUUAUUGGGCGUAAAGAGCUCGUAGGCGGUGUGUCGCGUCGGCCGUGAAAACCUGCAGCUUAACUGUGGGCUUGCGGUCGAUACGGGCAUCACUGGAGUUCGGCAGGGGAGACUGGAACUCCUGGUGUAGCGGUGAAAUGCGCAGAUAUCAGGAGGAACACCGGUGGCGAAGGCGGGUCUGUGGGCCGAUACUGACGCUGAGGAGCGAAAGCGUGGGGAG